rnacentral:rRNA from 1 species
UACGUAGGGUCCAAGCGUUAUCCGGAAUCACUGGGCGUAAAGCGUGCGUAGGCGGGUAUUUAAGUGCAAUGCGAAAUCCUGGGGCUCAACCCCAUGGACUGUAUUGCAUACUGGAUACCUAGAGGACAUGAGAGGCAAGUGGAAUUACUGGUGUAGCAGUGAAAUGCGUAGAUAUCAGUAGGAACACCAAUGGCGAAGGCAGCUUGCUGGCAUGUAUCUGACGCUAAGGCACGAAAGCGUGGGGAGCGAACAGG